CAAUUUUGUACUUGUUUGGCUUUAUAAAUAUUUUGAUAUGAGCGUCACUGAUGAGUCUUAUGUAAAGGAAACGCGUGUCUGGCGUACUAAAUUAUAAUUCUGGUACUUUUGAUAACUAAUUUAAUAUAUCCAAUAAACCACACAGUAUAUUACAUACUGUGGUUUCAUUUAUAUUUAUUGUUAACCAAAUUGGUUAAAAAGGUUAUAUUUCAUGAAACUAUUUUACUAAAGUAAUCGAAAUGUAAUC
rnacentral:lncRNA from 1 species